CCCAGUCUGGAAAGUGAGGAGCGUCUCUGCCCGGCCGCCAUCCCAUCUAGGAAGUGAGGAGCAUCUCUGCCCGGCCGCCCAUCGUCUGAGAGAGUAUUCUAGCUGCCUCCGCCUUUGAGACAGAGCAGGAAGAACCUGUGGAUGGUGGGAUUCCCUCUUCUUGGAGAAGGGGAUGAGCAUUUCCCGCUGCCCUCCUGACACGCCCGUGGCUGUCUGCCUUGCUCUGUACCUCCAGACUUCAUGGAAAGCAUGCUCGACCUUUGACUUCUGGAAAUCCUUGAAUGAAGCACAAAAGGGAUUGGUCCUUGCCUGGUGUGAAGCACAGCUGAGCCAAAGGAGGAAGCAAUAUUGCAAUGGACUCUGUCUUUGACAUCACUACUUUGCAAAUUUGUUACCACUAUGGUCAAAUUUUUAUAUUCACUCUUACAUUUUAACUCAUUCUGCUCAUUAUAUUCAAUGCAACAUCUGCACUAAAAGAUACUCAGGCAUUAAUUUAUGCUUUUCUGUUUACAAAUGAGAAUUCAUAAGCAAAUUGAGGUAGCAAUUAGAUAUUUUUUAAAAUCGAAGACAAAACAGAAGACACAUACACACACAUCAGUGGAACACAACAGAGAGCCCAGAAACAGACUGAAAUACAGCCGACUAAUCUCUGACAAAGGAGCAAAAGCAAUUCAAUGGAGAAAGGAGAGUCUUUUUAACAAAUGGUGCCGGAACAAGUGGGCAUCCAUAUGCAAAAAAGAAAAAAAAAAAGAAUCUAAAAACAGACCUUAUACUUCUUACAAAAAUUAAUGCAAAGUAGAUAUUAGACCAAUAUAUAAAAUGUAAAAUUUUCAAACUUCUAGAAGAUAACAUAAGGAAAAAAUCUAGUUAACUUUGGAUUUGGUGACUUUUUAAAGAUACAACACCAAAAGCAUGAUCCACGAAGACAAAAAUUGGUAAGCUGAAUUUCAUUAACAUGAAAAACUUUUGUUUUGCAAAAGAUACCAUUAAGAGAAUAAAAAGACAAAUCCCAAACUGUGAGAAAAUAUUUGCAAAAUAUAUCUAAGGAUUCGUAUCUGAAAUAUGCAAAGAACUGUUAAAACUCAACAAGAGGAAAACAAACAACCCAAUUAAAAAUGGGCAAAAGCUGAACAGAUAUGCAGAUGGAAACUAACUAUAUGAAAAGAUGCUCUGUAUGUUAUUAGGAACUGCCAAUUAAGACAACAAUAAGACACCACUACACACCUAUUAGAAUGGCCAAAAUCCACAAGUCUGAAAACACCAAAUGCUGGUGAGGAUGUGAAGCAACAAGAACUCUCAUUCAUUGCUGUGGGAAUGCAAAAUGGCACAGCCACUUUGGAAGACAGUUUGGCAGUUUUUUACAAAGCUCACAUAGUCUUAUUAUAAGAUUUAGCAAUUGUGCUCUUCAUUAUUUACCCAGUGGAGUUGAAGAGUUAUGUCCACACACAAACUUGCACACAAAUGUUUAUAAAAGCUUUAUUCAGGAUUACCAGAAACUGGAGGUGAUCAACAUGUCCUUCAGUAGGUGAAUGGAGAAAUAAAUUCUGAUAUCUACAGACAAUGGAAUAUCAUUCAGUGAGAAAAGACCUAUCAAGUCAUGAAAAGGCAUACCGGGACCCAAAAUGCACAUUACUAACGAAAAAAGCCAAAAAGGCUACAUACUGUAUGAUUCCAAUUAUGUGACAUUUUGGAAAAGGGAAAAUUACACAGAUAGUAAAAUGAUCGGUGGUUGGUAGGGGUUGAGGAGAGGGAAGGAUAGAUGGUCAGAGAGUUCCGGAUGUUUAGGGCAGUGAGACCAUUGUGUGCGAUUUCACCACAACGGUGGACCCACGACAGUGUGCAGAUGCCAAACCCAUUGAAUGCAGACCACAAAAAGAUAAUAAUUACAUAAACUAUGAACUUUCAUAAUGAAAUAAAUCAUGUUUUAAAAAAGUAGACAGCUUUGUUCAGUUACUGUCUACUUUUUGAAAUGGAGAGGGUGGGAUGCUUACAUGGUUGUGAGGAUAAAAAUAGCUUAGAGAAUGUAAUAACUAAAACAGGUGUGUAAACAUUGUUAAACUCUUUUAUCCUCAUUAAAAAACAUUGCUUAAAUAUAUUUGUAAUUUUUUACAACUGAGCGAGUAGUGCAAACACAUUAACAUAAUUCUCCUCUAGCUCCGCUCAGAAGUCAGGCUUCAGUGCAGGACCACAUGGCUCCAAGUGCACCUGCCAAAUGCAACAACCUCUUUCAACGUCAUUAAAAUAUUUCAAUAGGAGGCUUGAUUUUAGACUCAACCUGUGUUUUCUCCCCUGGAAAAUGAAGGUUUUAUGAAACAAAGAAGGUCUUUACCAUUCUCAUCCAAAAUGCUGAGACAUCUGUGAUGUCUGCUGUAAGUGCCACCAGGCUCUCCUCUGAAAUCUCACAACGGGAAAAUAGAGACUGUCAAUUCUGCUUUUAGAAAGGGGAGAAUCAGAUCUAAUGUCGAAAUGCCAUGUCCUCAUUCAUACACAUCUUCUUUUACAAAUUCCACAGGUUUAGUUACUUUGGGAUUAAUAUGGGCCUAUUUUAAAGUGCAUUUAUUAAUUUAGCAUGAAAUGUCCAAAUGCAUUCUGGAUCCUGAGCUGACAUCCAGCAAUGCUGAGUGUGCGCCUGUGUGAGUCACCAGCCCUGAUGAGCCUCAGGUUAUUGUAUUCAUAAAAUGAAGGGGCUUAGGCUUGCUCCGAUUUUUUUAAAACCAUUUUUAACAGUAAAAACUUGUUUCUUGUUACAUAAAAAUGUACAAGAAAAACCCAAACAUUACAAAUGAUAAAUUAUAAUUUUAUUAAUAUAAAUAUUUUGUGAGCUCAAUUUAUAGGACUUAGUUAUUAUAAAAGAAAUAAGCAACAUGAGGUGGCCAUACUUUCCUAUUUUGUUCACAUGCUAUUGAUAAAUCUUGAUGUACACAGAAAAUUAGUUUCAAAGAAUAAUAAUUUUAAAAAUCUUGACUUGUAAUUUCAAGGGACUUUAAAAAAAUUCCUGCAAUUUCUCUUUAAAGGUUCUAGAACAGUUUUCUAUGUCUUAAAGCUAAAUAAUCACAAAGAACUAACUGUUCUCACAUUCUGUAUUAUAAAUAUGUAAGUCAGAAAAGGAACAGACAAAAGAAUAAAAACACAUGCGUGAACAAAUGGGCCUUGGUUUACAUUGAAUUGGAUCUGGCAAUGAACAUGGGUUAUAGUAGUAUUUUUGUGUGUAAUUUUACACGAGUGGACUGUUGACAAAAUAAAAAUUGUCUGCAAUCACUAUUUGGUGGUAUAUUUGCACAAAUGGUAAACAUAUACAUAGAGGUCGUGGGAGAAAUUUAUUUCAUGGCUUACCAGAAGACAGGUUAAGUUGGGA
rnacentral:lncRNA from 1 species